ACCCCCUGCCAAGGGGCGAAGAGACACCUGGUUGGUGUUAUUGUUCUUAUAUUAGGCAGGGGCCAAGUAGAUGGCAACCCUUUGCUCAUCCUAGCUUGAUAAUCAAAAGCUGUUUUAUGCCUAGGACUCAUAA
ensembl:snoRNA LOC120102037 small nucleolar RNA SNORA48